GCCCCGGUAGCUUAAAAAAAGCUUCGGUCUUGUAAGCCGAAGAUUGCAGACUAAACCCUGCCCUGGGCU
rnacentral:tRNA from 1 species